ensembl:lncRNA LINC02934 long intergenic non-protein coding RNA 2934
UGCAAAUGAACAUUCCCCUUGGCUGGCGGCUUCAUUUUGUCUGCUCCUUAAUGUACACGUGGCUGGCCAAGAAGGGAAGAUGGAGCCGCCAUUUUCUAGCUGCCAUGUCUAGUCCCAGGUAGUUCUUUCCUGCCGGCAUUCACCGUGAAAGCUCCCAGCGUGCUUGUCUAUGUCUGCAGCUCAACUUCACAGGCUGCUCUUUGUUAGAAAAUGAUUUGGGGCAGCUUUUCAUUAAAAGAAAAACGUUACCAAGGACUUCUGGACUAUCUGCCUAAAUCUAUGCCUUGAUAGGUCUUCAGUUACUCAUGGUGAAACAUGUAAGCCUUGAAAAACUUUUUGGUGAGCUCAUAGGUUAUCUAUAAGAUGGUUUAUGGCCAUCUGUCUUAUAGGGUAACAACAUAAUUUAUCCUCCAAGUUUGGACACUUUUGAGAGUAAAAAGGGGAGUUAUUAAUCAUUAUGUCAAGGAAAUAAGCAAAAAUGGGACUUUUCUAAGCAACUUAGACAUAUGGUCAUUCUACUUAUGAGAAAUAUGUGUCUUUUAUAGGUUAGAUAUUAGGUCCCAUAAGAGCAUGUGGCCAAGAUGGCCAGCUCCACCAAAGAUUCAUACUUCCCCUUCCAUAGUAUGGAGUUGUGCUGGGAAGCAGUUUUCCCACCAGGGACAACAUCUUCUAGUCCUUUUACAUCUAAGUAGUACCAUGAGACUGGAUCAUGCCAAAGAAAUGUUUUGGAAGUGAGAUGUUUCACUUUGGAACCAAGGAACUGAAAAAACAGAUAGAGGGAGCCCAAGCCAAGAAGAGAGGUCUGGUAUCAAAGAUUUGCUGAAUUCACAAUUGAAGAGGCUUAUGUCAGUCCCUUAGAAAGAAUUUGAGGACUCCUCGGAAAAUUGCUGAGUUGAGUAAAUAUUUCCUUCCAUAAAGGUAAAUAA